rnacentral:lncRNA from 1 species
UGAGACUGUGGGACGCCCUGUGGGACAUGCACCCUCCCUCCCGAGGCCAUCGGGCGUGAUGCCGAUUUUCAAAUUUUCAAAGGACACACUGUCGCUAAUAGAAAUAUUUUCUUUUGUUCAGAUGCCCAGGGCCAAGGGACUCAUGAGUAUCUGGUCAGGUUGUUCUCAGAGUGCCUGAGAUAUAGCAGUUCAGAAGUGGAGCUAUCACGUAGGUCGGUUCGCUGGGCUCUACGUCUGUGACUGUAGCUGGAUCAAUUCAGCUAUGUUUGCUCCUCUUUCUGUAGCAAUAUGUAGAGGGGGUGUUGGUUGAUGGAUUGAUGAGGUCUUAUGAUGUUCCCAGGCCAGAUUCUAACUCCUGGG